rnacentral:rRNA from 1 species
UGCGUAGGGUGCAAGCGUUAAUCGGAAUUACUGGGCGUAAAGCGUGCGCAGGCGGUUUUGUAAGUUUGUCGUGAAAUCCCCGGGCUCAACCUGGGAAUGGCGAUGAAGACUGCAAGGCUAGAAUCUGGCAGAGGGGGGUAGAAUUCCACGUGUAGCAGUGAAAUGCGUAGAGAUGUGGAGGAACACCGAUGGCGAAGGCGGCGUUCUGGACUGCAACUGACACUGAGGAAGCGAAAGCCAGGGGAGCAAACGGG